rnacentral:rRNA from 1 species
GAAUAUUGCGCAAUGGGGGGAACCCUGACGCAGCAACGCCGCGUGAGUGAAGAAGGCCUUCGGGUCGUAAAACUCUGUCAUUGGGGAAGAAAAAAAUGACGGUACCCAAUGAGGAAGCCCCGGCUAACUACGUGCCAGCAGCCGCGGUAAUACGUAGGGGGCAAGCGUUGUCCGGAAUUACUGGGCGUAAAGGGUGCGUAGGCGGCCGAUUAAGUCAGAUGUGAAAUACCACGGCUCAACUGUGGGGGUGCAUAUGAAACUGGUUGGCUUGAGUGCAGGAGAGGAAAGUGGAAUUCCCAGUGUAGCGGUGGAAUGCGUAGAUAUUGGGAGGAACACCAGUGGCGAAGGCGACUACCUGGACGAAAACUGACGCUGAGGCACGAAAGCUAGGGGAGCAAAC